AACGCACAUUGCGCCCCUUGGUAUUCCGAGGGGCAUGCCUGUUCGAGCGUCAUUACACCACUCAAGCUAUGCUUGGUAUUGGGUGUCGUCCUUAGUUGGGCGCGCCUUAAAGACCUCGGCGAGGCCUCACCGGCUUUAGGCGUAGUAGAAUUUAUUCGAACGUCUGUCAAAGGAGAGGACUUCUGCCGACUGAAACCUUUUAUUUUUCUAGGUUGACCUCGGAUCAGGUAGGGAUACCCGCUGAACUUAA
rnacentral:misc_RNA from 1 species